ACGAAAUGAUCAGUACGUUUGAAUCUAUGCUGGCGAAGACUGUAGCCGCAUUGAAAAGCGAUUUUGAUAUGAAAUUGGCAGCCGCGUUCCGUCUUCGAGAGAACCAGGAUAGAGUAUGUCAUGAAACGAAAUUGGCGAAACCUUUAUCAACAAUUUUGUCAUCUUCAUGCAAAAAAUCAUUGGUCAUACUGGAGACAACUGUAAUGGAUAUAACACAUGUUACUCUUUGAUUGACCAAUUCUUCGACCGCAAGAUCAUGUUGCAUUGCUCGUGGAGUGGGGGUAGCAAGAGCGAUACCCCUAAAUUUGCAAUAAAAGAAUGCAAAAACAUCCUGAACGUAUUUUUUAGAAUUGUUCAUAAUGUGAAUCCCAACUUUUCUAAAAAAUUGCUGGAGGAUUUUUUUAAACAAGUUUUGCGGAAUUCGAAAGCACGGAGUCAAGCAAAAGGCUUGCGUCAGUCAUCGAUCCAUCGCCGUGGCAAGCGGAUGGCGGAAAGGUCCAUUAAAAGUUCAAGCGAUCUUGAUAAAUCCAGCCUAUCAGAAGGCCAUUAUCCUAGUACAAAUAGAACAAAAGAAGAAAACGUCGAACAGGAAUCUGGGAACGUGAAAUAUGAAGAUGAUGGAGACACUGAUGACAACAAUUAUGGUGACGAUGAAAAUGACGGCAACGAUGAUAGUGAAGUUGACUGAUGACAAGAUGACAAGGAUAUCGCUUCUCGGCCUAAAGGCUAAGAUCAAAGAAAAGAUGACAAGGAUGAAAAUAAAGAAUAUAACGCUGCACGUUACGAACUGCCUAGGUAUUUUAUUUCUUUCCAUAAUUUACAUAUUAUUUGAAGCGCUUUUUUUAUUUAUCGUACAUAUAUAUAACUGUUUUUCCUUGUUUUAUGUAAUAAAAAUGUUUGCAGACUGUCUCACGAAAAAGUAUAUGAAUGUAAUAAGAUUGUGAUUUUUGAUAUAUUUCAUGAUAUUAUCCUGCACAAAUUGUAUGGAGAAGUGGAAGUAAUACAAUGGUGUUUUGUGUGUAAGGAACCGCUACGAAUUUGCAAGUAAUAUCGUUUAUGUUAUAUGUUUUACCUGAUUUCAAAAAUAAUUUUACUAGAAAAAUAUACAAAUAUGAUGAACGA